GACGAAUGCUGGCGGCGUGCUUAACACAUGCAAGUCGAACGGAAAGGCCCUGCUUUUGUGGGGUGCUCGAGUGGCGAACGGGUGAGUAACACGUGAGUAACCUGCCCUUGACUUUGGGAUAACUUCAGGAAACUGGGGCUAAUACCGGAUAGGAGCUCCUGCUGCAUGGUGGGGGUUGGAAAGUUUCGGCGGUUGGGGAUGGACUCGCGGCUUAUCAGCUUGUUGGUGGGGUAGUGGCUUACCAAGGCUUUGACGGGUAGCCGGCCUGAGAGGGUGAUCGGCCACAUUGGGACUGAGAUACGGCCCAGACUCCUACGGGAGGCAGCAGUGGGGAAUAUUGCACAAUGGGCGGAAGCCUGAUGCAGCAACGCCGCGUGCGGGAUGACGGCCUUCGGGUUGUAAACCGCUUUCGCCUGUGACGAAGCGUGAGUGACGGUAAUGGGUAAAGAAGCACCGGCUAACUACGUG
rnacentral:rRNA from 1 species